GAGUAAUGCUCACCAAGGCGACGAUGCGUAGCCGACCUGAGAGGGUGAUCGGCCACACUGGACUGAGACACGGCCCAGACUCUACGGGAGGCAGCAGUAGGGAAUCUUCCGCAAUGGACGAAAGUCUGACGGAGCAACGCCGCGUGAACGAUGAAGGCUUUCGGGUCGUAAAGUUCUGUUGUCAGGGAAGAACAAGUACCGGAGUAACUGCCGGUACCUUGACGGUACCUGACAAGAAAGCCACGGCUAACUACGUGCCAGCAGCCGCGGUAAUACGUAGGUGGCAAGCGUUGUCCGGAAUUAUUGGGCGUAAAGCGCGCGCAGGCGGUUCCUUAAGUCUGAUGUGAAAGCCCCCGGCUCAACCGGGGAGGGUCAUUGGAAACUGGGGAACUUGAGUGCAGAAGAGGAGAGCGGAAUUCCACGUGUAGCGGUGAAAUGCGUAGAGAUGUGGAGGAACACCAGUGGCGAAGGCGGCUCUCUGGUCUGUAAVUGACGCUGAGGCGCGAAAGCGUGGGGAGCGAACAGGAUUAGAUACCCUGGUAGUCCACGCCGUAAACGAUGAGUGCUAAGUGUUAGAGGGUUUCCGCCCUUUAGUGCUGCAGCAAACGCAUUAAGCA
rnacentral:rRNA from 1 species